rnacentral:lncRNA from 1 species
GGGAGCUGUUGCCCAGGAAACAGUAUGAUGUCAUUGCACUAGAGACAGUUGCUAUGGUUACUGAGUUGGCUGAGGUAACUGGGAAUAAAGGAGUUGUUAUCAGACCAGAGCCAGGAAAUGUUCCCUUUAAUGGGAAUAAUAAAAAAAAAGACACUUUUAAUGUAUUUAUGUUUCAGGGCGGUUUGCCUGUGAUUCAAAGUCCCCAGUUAUUUUUCUGAUGCAGUGUGCUCAAUUUGGGCUUCUUUCAGUUGGGCUGAGUGAUCUUGCUCAUCUGUUUCUACUCUUGAAUGUUAUUGUGGACAUCACACCACAGUAAAAUGGAAAAAAGAACUGUGUUGUCCCGUGCUUCUGUGUAAUAUGUGUUCCCACCUGUUGUUGCUGUUUGCUUUUUCCUGUUUGGUUUCUGUGUUUUCUGUGAUGAAUAGUCCAGCCCAGUUAUUAUCCCAGCUGAUGUCAGAGAUACGCUAACAGUGAAUAUUACAUGUCUGAGCUUGCUUCAUCUGCCCCAGGCUCUGUCUGUAAAAGGCAAGCUAUAAUUUGUUUUCCACUUCUUUUCUGCCUUCUACCUGCUUUUUGUUUUUCAUUGUAGUCAUUGCAGGAGUUCCAGGAAAAGUCCAAUGCGAAAAGUGAAGCAGAGAUUCAAUAAAAAGUAGGAGGCAGCUAUUAGAGAUGAAGAAAUACAUGCAAGAUUGCACUUCACUGAGAGCAAUGUGGAAAUGUGUGUAGCUGAUCGUGUUUCAUGUGAGGAUGCAGGAACGUGAAUAGUGGUAGGUCAGCAGGAAACAGCAAUUGUAAGAGAUGGCAACAAGAUAAAACAGCUAAUGGAGGUGAAAAGUGGCAGUCAGUCAGCACUGAGAGGCUCAUAACGGUCAGGUGAGAGACAUGGGGCAUCACUAAGCCUGUCUUUCAGACGUGUGUAAAUGCUUAAUUUCUAACCUGAUAAAUGUUUAGCUAAUCAACAUGCAAUGGUGCUAUUUGCAAAUCUUUUGAGCUAGGGGACUUGCAUCACUGUGAAAUGUGGGCCAAUAAUCAUAGAACUUCCUGGACUCACAAUUUUAUGGUUGCUAGAAUGUAAUACUGUUGAAUCUGAUAUUGGAGUGAUAUAUGAUUCCUGCCAUGAAUGGCCACUGAAGUUACUUUUCUUGUUAAAUAGGGUUCAGAAUGACCCCUUGAAUUUGUGUUUGUUUUUGUUCACUACCAUACAACAUGGGUUUAUUAUAUUUAAAUACAUUUUAAAUGUAUACGUUUAAAUCACCCUCUAUGGUAAAGUAUGAGAAAGAAAACAAGAAGAUGGAGUGUAUUUAACGGUCAGGAAGGUCAGUAAUUGUAUUCAGUGAUAUAGCAAUACUAGAGAUUGUAUAUUGAUAAAGAAUUACAGGUUUGUUUUCUACUACUGUCUACUGCUUGGGAUAUCUGUAUGUGAAAAUCUGUGCGUAGAAGGAGGAGGCACCAUCCACUGUUAGACUAUGGACAGUCCUACAAGCAGGGUGAUCUCAGCUUUUGCUGAGCAAUGCUUCCAUCUACUGGAGAACUCUCUUCUCACAGUAUUUACUCUAUUCUGAGACCCAAAGUCUUGAUAGUUAAAACCCCCAUAUAUUUAUUGUUUAUGAAUUAUUCUGAGAACAAAGAUAGUCCCUCUAUUCUGUCAAGUAGCUAACACAAAGUGCUUUUACUUCUUUACAUUUGAAGGAUGUAUAGUUAUCCACUUAUCUUGAGUCAGUACUCUGUGUUGUGUUUUGUUGGUUUUUUUUUUUCCUGAAAUGCAGUUCUUAAGAUGGUAGUAAUAUAAAUUGAAGUACAAAAUGUAGAAUUAUCUUGCUAGAGAGUGACUGUGUGAUUUGUGGCAUUAAAUAAUGAUUUCAGGAAGAGACUUCAGAGGCUGUAGGAUUACCCUCAUACUCUUUAUGAGCAAACAGGAUUGAGGUAGAUAUCCAUUGAGACAGAACAUAUAUUAGUGUUGGAGUUAGAGAAUUAGACUCAGUAGAAUUUGCACUGCUGCUGUGCAUCAGAGUUUGCCUGUGCUUUGCCAGGAUCACUGUAGGAGGCACUCAACACUACUGUAAUCAGUACUGAUCUGCCAUUUAGGGAAGUGAAAGUUUUUUUUUUUCUUGUGGCUGAGAAGAAACGCUAGGAAUAGUGGCUUCCAGUUUUCUUAUUAGAAUCUCCCUGAUUCCUUAAGCAUGUUAAAGUGUCCGAUUAGAAAAAUUAGGAACAAACUUGUAAAAUGCACAAAGACUGAAUAGUAACAAUAUCAAAGUACCUUUGGACUUGAUACAAGUCACAGAAUGGCUUGGGUUGGAAGGGACCUCAAAGCCUACCCAGUUGCAAGCCGUGCCAUGGGCAGGGACACCUCCCACCAGAGCAGGCUGCCCACAGCCCAUCCAGCCCAGUCUUGGGCCCUGCCAGGGAUGGGGCAGCCUCUGAGUAGAGUUUCUUCCUAAUGGCUAAUAUAAACUUACUCUCUUUUAGUUUAAAACCAAUACAGCUUAUCCUGUCGCUACAUGAAACAAAUAUAACAAAUAAAAGUGAUAUCCUUAUAUGGAAUUAUAUAUACAAUUAAAAAGUUUAUAUAUAGAUCUGUGUACUAUCAAAGUUUUAUAGGUAUGCAUAUACAACUACAUAAAUGUGUGUGUAUACAACAUGAUCACAAAUGAAUAUAACACAGUAAGUAAAUAAACAGUACUUAGCUCAUUGCUUCUAUGAAAAGAACACAAUGUCACUGCACCUUGUCCCUGCCUACAUGCAAUCUAUGUGGUUCUGUGCCCUUUGGGAUCAUUAAUACUCUGUGAUAAGUAUCUUCAUUUGUUCACGUGAAAUCUUGAUGAACUUCUAUAAUGGCCUUCACUAAAUAACUUUGUAGAAUGCAUCAGCUUUCACAUUUUGUAUUACCUUUAAGCUACUUGAAAUACCUAUGCUUUAUGAGGUCCUUUGUUUUUCAAGUGUUUAACUGGAUUAUACAGUAGCCAUUCCAGGUACUCCUUGGUUUAUGGCAGAGAGCUCGAAAGAUGCGGCAAAGCACAGGAAUGGAUUUUAGAGGUUUAAGUAUGUUUUAUAUUCUAUUAAGGUUUUUAAAUGACUGAAAUGGUAGGAAGCAUAGGCUUCAGAUUUGCAUUGGUUGUUCUUCCACUGUUAAGAACAAAUAGUUCAGGGUACUUUCCAUUCGUAAUAUCAUGUUUUAUUUGUAAGCUGGUGCUUGUGUGGGGAUGUUUCUGUGCUGUGGGGGAAGUAAGCGGCUCAGUAUUUCUUAAUAGUGUGUAUACUGCCUUGAGUGUUCAGAAAUUAGUGUGUAAAUGCUAGGAACACUACAGCCUAUGUCCAAAAAUGAUGAUUUUUGUGGAUAAACAAUUAUUGUUAACCGUUGCAGCCAUCAGAAGCUGCAUAGAAAUAACUGAGCUGAAUAUGCAGUUAUAGAAAUUAUGUGAAGCCCCAAUGCAGAAACUUAGAUAUUUGUAGUUUUCCCUCUGUUAUUACUUCAUUUACAGCAGCAGCACUAUCAUUUUAGUUAUUUAAUAAGGAUUUACUUGGAGGUCAAAAAAAAAAACAACAAAACACCCCACAUUCUGCUGCUGAUGCACACGCUUUUGUCCAGGAGUGUUUUGGCUGCCAAUAUCAUGGUUUGCCUGCUAUCUAACGCCUUGGCAGAUUGUGACUCACACAGGCUGGUGCAUUGUGAGCUGAGCUUUUAUUUCUUGUUACUACUUUCAAACUCAGAUGGAGCUGCUUACUGUUGGUGUCAAUGGGUACACAUGCUCUUGCUGCCUCAAAUAGUUUUCUCAGAAAGUAAGAAUUCAGUACGCAGUCAAUAUUCAUUAGGAAUCUACUCAGAGUGGCCAUGGUUGCCGUUUAUGUGAUGUGGCUGUAAUUAUAGACAGUGGUGUAUCCUGGGAAAACGUUCUCUUGUGUGUUCUUCAUCUCCUAGGACUGCACACGUAGGGAGACUGUGAGGUUGACUUGAUGAAUGUGAUUGAAAUAAUAAAUCAGCAUCGUUUUUUUUAUUAGAAUCUGCUCUUUAGUCCAUUAAGAACAUGAAUACAUUCUUGUUGCACUACUGUUGUCUGUGCCAAAUUCACAAAAAUUCAGAAGAAUUUUUUUUGUUUGGCAAGGUGACAGGCAGAAAAUGUUUGAAGGUAUUCCCCUUAAGAAUAGAUUUAUACAAUGUUAAGCACAGUAUGAUGCUCCUCAAGUAUGAAGAUAAUAUUGGUUAUUUCAAAGGAAUAAAAAUGUCUCUGUAUGCAGAGGAAGAAGAGAGAGUAAAUCUUGAUCUGAGCAAUUGAGUCACAUGGAUAUCAAUUUACUUUUCAGUUCCUGGGAAAUGAGCAUUGCAGCUGAUUAUUUAUGGCUGCUGUGUUCUGUAAAACUUUGCGACUGACACACCAUUUUACAAGCUUUAUAGAGGCUGCUACCUUCUAUGCUUUUGUGAUACUGUGUUGUAUGAUGUCAACAUUAGUUUUGAGUAUCAUUCUAUUCUAAAUCUUAGGAAGUAGCAGCAGAAUUGAAUUCAUUGUAAUGCUCUUGAUGUUCAGUUAUGCUCAGCUUGGCAUGAUAGCUGUUAUGAAGUCCUAAUUACAGUGAUCGAUCCUGAUGUGAUCUGACUGAACAAAUGAAAGAAAUUAAGCAGAGAUGUCCAUUUGCACAAGCUUGUGUGAUUUAGCACUUUUGCUCUCUUUUUCCCUAUGCUACCUGUAGUGGUUGAGUACACAUCUUAACUACUCAUUUUUAUUCUGUUCUAUAGGGUUUCUAGAGAGAUCUUUCACACUAAUUGUUCCAUUGUACAUUUUGGUGCUAUGUCCACUUUCCUUUCUUCUCUCUAUUUAUUAGAUCUUGUUUUCUUGUGUUUGUUAAUACUUUCACUGUAUUUCUUGUGUUCAAAAGGAACGAUGAAGAACUCUUUCUGUGUUUGGAAUCAUUUCUUUCUGAAGGGUUUUUUUGCUUUAGCUAAAUAAGCCAAAUAGACAAACAAUUGAAUUUUGAAUUCAAAUUGAAUUCAAUAUGAAUUUCAAUUGAAAUUGAAACAAUGGGAAGAGGAGGGGGGGGCUCUUUCUGGAACAUACUGACUGAACCCUCAGUUAAAAAAACAACAACAACAACAACAAAAACAAAUAUAUAUACAUAUAUGAAGGCGUAAGGAAGUAAGGACGUGUCUGUGG